CCGGCUCGGGGCUGGCCGGGGCCGCGCGGGGUGAGGGGGGAGCCGGGGCCGCGGGGCCACAGGAUGGGUCAGGCCGGGAGCGACCACAGGGACCGCCAUCUGAUGCAGCCUCUCCGCUCAAGCCCGUGGCACAGGAUUGCAUCCAGACGGUUCUUGAACAUCUUCAGUGAGGGAGAUGCCACCCUCUGGGCUGCCUUGUUUGAGUGUGUGGUCACCCGCACAGUAAAGUUCUUCCUCAUGUUCAGGUGGCACUUCCUGUACAUCUUACCCCUUGGCACCACCGAGAAGGGCCUGGCUCCAUCCUCUUGACCCUCCCUUCAAAUACUUAGAUUUAAAAGGUCCCUUCUCAGUCAUCUCUCAUCGAGGCUAAACAGGCCCAACUCUCUCAGCCUUUCCUCACAGGAGAGGUGCUCUAGUCCCUUGAUUGACUUUGCAGCUCUAAACAGCCCAAUACAUGGUAUGGCACUGUCCUGCAUGCUCAGGUGGUGCUGCUGUGUCUGGAAGAGUGACAGAAGACUACAGAAUAUCCUGACUUGGAAGGGACCUACAGGGAUCGUAAAAGUCCUGCUCCUGGCCCUGCACAGGACACACCAAAGUUCACACCUUGUGCCUGGGAGCAUUGUCCCAACACUUCUUGAACUCUGUCAGGCUUGAUGCUGUGACUACUUCCCUGGGGAGACUGUUCCAGUUCCCAAUCAUCCUCUGGAGGCAGAACCUUUUCCUAGUAAAUAAUACUGGUUUUAAGCCAAGAUGAAGAAGAAUAUGGGAUGAACAGAAGCAUCAUCCAAAAAACACAGAGAAACAGUCUGUGUGAGUGUGAUGAGCCAGAGCUGACCUACCACUUGACCAAGUGUAGGAAUCACAAGGAUUUUUCACAAAAUUCCAUUGGAAUCUAGAGCUUUCAAGAAAUUCAGCCUCUGCAAGCUAAAUAUCCUAAAACUUUAAUUCAUAAAAUGACAGAAUGUGAAAAUAUGCUUCAACUAUUCAGUUUGAUCUCUCCCAGGUAACUACUUCAAUUUUCUUUGGGCUUUGGCCAGAGGAAAAGUGAUGUUUAAAUAAAUGGGUUUUUUGCAACAGAAGUGUGGCUAGAUUUCAAAGAACUGCCAGGAGGUGAU